rnacentral:misc_RNA from 1 species
CCCGGCUAACCAAGACUGGCAGGCUCCCGCUCGUACGUGCGGCCAACUGUCAUGGGGCUGUCUUCUCAGUGUCCCUUCGUUUAUCCAUUUCGGUAGCUUCGGGUGCCUCGGAUUUGGUUGCCUGUGCGGUCUUACCGUAGUCGGUAUCACAAUUGUCCCGCUGUUGCGUAUUUUGCUUGCCCCGUUGAUGAUAUUCAUCGAUGGGCAGCCGAGGCGUUGGUAGCUUCCGUGCGCUGCGAUGCACUGUGUGCGUCGGAACUGCUUAUCGGAUGUUUGCCGGGUCUCACGGAUAUCAGUCCCUACGUUGAGCGGUCUGCGGGCUUCAGGCCUGCAGGCUCAUGGUGUUGCCCGCACACAUAAAUUUGUUGCUGAUGCUCCAUCGGCACGUGUUCCUUCGGGAUUCAUGUUGAGGGAUCUCACUCGGCGCCUGUUUGUGUGUACGUGCAUAUCCUUACCGACCCGAAUGAUACACGACUGCCCGUCUGCGUCGUCACGGGAAGCCUCCUUCGCGGUAGGCUCACCGAGACGACGCGCUGGCUCUCGUUUAUGACGUGCUACCUGGUUGAUCCUGCCAGUAGUCAUAGGCCUUUGUCUAAAACCUUUUUUAAUAUGCUUUGUCUAAGUUUUUUUUGU